rnacentral:snoRNA from 1 species
AUCCUUUUGCAGUUCAUAAGCAUGAUGAUUGGGUUUUCACACUGCUGUGUGAGAUGUGCCUCUCUUAAGUCUCGUUACAACGUCAGCACAUUACCCAUCUGAUG